rnacentral:rRNA from 1 species
GACGGAGGGUGCUAGCGUUGUUCGGAAUGACUGGGCGUAAAGGGCGCGUAGGCGGUCAGCACAAGUCAGUUGUGAAAUCUCCGGGCUUAACUCGGAAAGGUCAACUGAUACUGUGCGACUAGAGUGCAGAAGGGGCAACUGGAAUUCUCGGUGUAGCGGUGAAAUGCGUAGAUAUCGAGAGGAACACCUGCGGCGAAGGCGGGUUGCUGGGCUGACACUGACGCUGAGACGCGAAAGCGUGGGGAGCGAACAGG